GUUGGGAUACAGAGAGAAAGCCUGUGUGUGCGAACUGUAGGAGAGCAAGAGAGAGUAUACCGAGGAGCAUGCGCAAUUCUCUAUGACCGUGUGUGUGUGAGAGAGACGGAAAGAGAAAGAGAUCAAGAAAGGGAACGCACCGUUCUGUUGCACCACUCCUAGAGAGCCUGGAGACACUCUCACACUGUCUGACUCCUGUUCCAGCUCAGGGCUUCUGCAGGGACACACAUGCACGCAUGAGCACAGAGACACACACCACAGACGUGUCGUCACUGCCACUCCUGGCAGCCGGUGAUAUGUGGGAGUGCUAAGGAGAAGAAGGAGAGGUGGAAGUGGCUAGCGUUAAGCUGAAGCAGGAGGCCCAGCCGUUGCACCUGGCCUCUCACACAGCUCACCAUGUGAAUCGCUGCCGCCUCCUAGAGGAAAAGAACAGAGCUCUUAAACUAGAGCUAGCCACUCUCAGACAGCAGAAACAGCAACACAGAUCUCUGAGUCGUGCCUCUGUGACUGUGUAUGGAAGAGAGAGGAAAAACAACAAAACACCUUCAGGGAAGAUAUUCGAGUUUCUGGAGCGAAUAUCCCUUCUGCUGUUCCUCUAAUUGAAGCAUCCCGGAGAGAUAUAUACAGUCAAGGGUUUAAAACUAACCAGGUCUCUGCUACAUUCAUAUUAACAUCAGUUGCGUAAGGGUAUUUUCUAUAU
rnacentral:lncRNA from 1 species